rnacentral:tRNA from 1 species
AGGAUAUUAGUUAACCAUAACAUUUAACUUGCACUUAAAAAGUAUCAAAUACUGAUAUAUCUUA